UACGUAGGUUGCAAGCGUUGUCCGGAUUUACUGGGCGUAAAGAGCGCGCAGGCGGCCGAGUAAGUCGAAUGUGAAAGCCCCCGGCUCAACUGGGGAACGUCAUUCGAUACUGUUCGGCUCGAAGAUAGGAGAGGGAAGCGGAAUUUCAGGUGUAGUGGUGAAAUGCGUAGAUAUCUGAAGGAACACCAGUGGCGAAGGCGGCUUUCUGGCCUAUUCUUGACGCUGAGGCGCGAAAGCUAGGGGAGCGAACGGG
rnacentral:rRNA from 1 species